AAUUUUGGACAAUGGGGGGAACCCUGAUCCAGCAAUCCCGCGUGUGCGAUGAAGGCCNNNGGGUUNUCAAGCACUUUUAGCAGNGAANAAACAGCGCCGGUUAAUAUCCGGCGUCACUGACGGUCCCUGCAGAAUACGCACCGGCAAACUACGUGCCGGCAGCCGCGGUAUUACGUAGGGUGCAAGCGUUAAUCGGAAUUACUGGGCGUAAAGGGUGCGCAGGCGGCCUGGCAAGAAAGGUGUGAAAUCCCAGGGCUUAACCUUGGAAUGGCACUUUUAACUGCCAAGCUAGAGUAUGUCAGAGGGGGGUAGAAUUCCACGUGUAGCAGUGAAAUGCGUAGAGAUGUGGAGGAAUACCGAUGGCGAAGGCAGCCCCCUGGGAUAAUACUGACGCUCAGGCACGAAAGCGUGGGGAGCAAACA
rnacentral:rRNA from 1 species